AUAAUCUUAAGAACCCAAGAGCAUAUUCCACUCUUGGACCCUUAACACUACACACAACGUUCACCUAUCUCUUACGAAGACACAAGGUCGGAAUCCACCUCCCAAGCAUCACGUUUCCAAGCCAUGAGAUCAACAAGAGUGAUUCCACACUCUCUAUGCCUAAUUUCGGUUUUGGUGUCUCAAGGAGAGAGGACUUGUGUUUUUUUGUGUUUCAAGACUUACAACAUCAUGAAUAAUCUAAGUCUAAAAGCCCUACA
rnacentral:lncRNA from 1 species